rnacentral:lncRNA from 1 species
UGAGGAAGAAAUCUGUGGAGAUACACUGUUGAUUAUCCAUGAAAGCACUAGCCCAUUGACUGUCUCCCAGGCUUCAAAUUCUUUUCCUCCUCUAUCCUCUGGUUUUUGAAUUUUGCCAUUCACAAAAUUUAUUUUCCUCCUGGACAGUAGUGAAAGCUUCAUGGCAUUGGCCCAGCUUGCGUAAUUUGACUCUCCAGUCAAUUUGUCAGCCACCAUCAGUGCACCCGGGUGAUCUCCAGAGUUUAGAUAAUAGAUUGACUCCCUAUCGUUUAUUGCUGAAACAGGGGCAGACCUUCUGGAUUUGUGGGAGCGAUGCUUAUGGUGGUGACUUUUGUGUUUACUCUUGGAGGAAGAACGCGACUUG